GCUGGAGUGCAGUGGCGUGAUCUCGGCUCGCUACAACCUCCACCUCCCAGCCGCCUGCCUUGGCCUCCCAAAGUGCCGAGAUUGUAGCCUCUGCCCGGCCGCCACCCCGUCUGGGAAGUGAGGAGCGUCUCUGCCUGGCCGCCCAUCGUCUGGGAUGUGAGGAGCCCCUCUGCCCGGCCGCCCAGUCUGGGAAGUGAGGAGCCUCUUCCCGGCCGCCAUCCCGUCUGGGAAGUGAGGAGCGUCUCUGCCCAGCCGCCCAUCGUCUGAGAUGUGGGGUGCGCCUCUGCCCCGCCGCCCCGUCUGGGAUGUGAGGAGCGCCUCUGCCCGGCCGCGACCCAGUCCGGGAACUGAGGAGUGUCUCUGCCCUACCGCCACCCCGUCUGGGAGAGACGGGGUCUCAUUAUGUUGCCCGAGGCUUCAGUAUCUUUUCCAAAGCAACAUGAAAGAAACGCGACCGUAAAUCAAUCAGCUUCUUGGUGUGAUCUAUGUGACGGCUAGGUGAUAAACGAGUUGGUCAGAGAAAACUGGAAAUAUUUCCAAAGCCAUGUUUACUCCCUUCACCCACCUGUGAGUCUUUGCCUUGGCUGUUUCCGACUCGGAAUGUUCUCGCAUUGAUCCUCCCAAUCACAGCCAGCUGAAACCAGCCUCCUUCCUGACGUAUUCAGUAACUUCAGCCGAUUGCCAUCUCUCCUUCAUCUCAACAACCUGUACCACACUCACUGGAGCACUUGGCUUUGCAUCUUUAGUCGACCGGUUCAGAUGUAUACAACCUAUAAGGUAGGGGCGGAGGCUACUACCUGCCUGUACCCCCUUUGGAGGGCCCACGAAUACAGAGCUGAGCACAAAAGAUGUUUAAAGGACAUUUUGUCAAAAAUGUCGCUUACAGGUAGGUCGUUAUUAGCAAGGUAGAGCAGCGGUACGGCCGAGUCUACGCUUGGGAAUUCAUUUGCUGACUCUUAUCAUUUACUGACUAAAGCAAAGUUACUGAGGCCUCAGUUUCCUCAUCUACAACCCGGGGAGAUGACCAGUACCCAUCACAAUCGAUUGCUAUGAAGAUUCAAUGAUAAUGCAGAUAAGGCAUUUAAUACAGUGUCCCCUCACCGUCCACACCACGCGGGCACGCCCGCUUAUUCCUGAGGACCGGGCUGGGAUGUCGCCUCCUUUGUGUAGCCUUCCUACCCUGACUUCGCAGACUGCUCCCACCGCCUGGAUCCAUGCCCGUCCACCCGCCAGCUCAGGGCUGAACGGCUGAGGCGGGCGCGCGGUGGAGAAAAGAGCCGCAGACUGAGGAAGGUCGAGAAGGAGAAAGGGACACACCAGACGCGGCGUCUGAAUCCCCCUCCACCCAGAGGCCCCAGAGCAGCACCUCCGCCCCACCUCCCGCCCGCUCCGCCGGAAGCCAGUCAGCGCCAGCCGGAAGCCCCGCCCCCUAGAGGCACCGCGGAUAGGAGGAGCUCCCGCUCUUCGCUCAGCGGACCGCACUGCGGACACCGUGCAGCGCUGUUCACCCAGAUGCCAGCUGUGACCUUGGCUAAGCCAGUGACUUAACUCGGGCCCGUUCCCCAUUCCCACGUUGUUGCCAAGUCUCCAGCCUGGAAAGUAAACGGGCUUCAGGUAUCCUGUUUAGAUCCUUAAGGAACGGCAGGAGCACACACACUGCUGCCACCUCACACCUUUUCACUUCAUCCUGACGAAGCUGCAGUUUAGUUCAUAUUUUAACUCAAAGACGUGUUAGGUUUUGGUUUGAUGGCACUCAUCCAGCACUUGUGCAGAAAACAAGGUAAAGGGGGCCCAUGGGUCUAUCAGAUAACCUGAACCCGAGACCUCUCAAUCUGGAGGAACAGCUUGAAGAAGUGAUCUAGAAGCUAUAAAGUCACAGAAGCUUCUUAUCCUAUUGAAAGCAAGACUUCCUAUCCAAUGGCAAUACAAACUUUUACACAGUAAGACCCUGCACUGAUGGAUCCGCUGGUGCCACCCAGAUCAAUAAACUGGCUCAUCUGAUCUUGUGGCCCCCAUUCAGGAACCAACUCAGAGCAAGAAGACAGCUUCAACUCCCUAUGCCUUCAUCUCUGAUACGACCUAUCAACACGCCCCACUCCCUGGCCCCCUACCUGCCAAAUUAUCCUUAAAAAAACUCCCAUCCCUAAAUUUUCCGGGAGAAUGAUUUGAGUAAUUAACUCUGGUCUCUUGUUCUGGCUCUGCAUGAAUUAAACUCUUUCUCUAUUGCAA